AUUAUCGUAACGUGACAUCAUUAAAUGGAAUGUUUUGAAACACCCCAUAAUGAUAAACCAAGUUAAUCAAUAACUUCAAAAAACGAGCGUUUAUUAAACGCUGACACGUUACGACUUAAGUUUGGACCCUAAAAAUAUCAUGUUUCUGAACGCACCCUUUGUUGAACUUAUUUAUUUACUCUAUGGCAUAGCGUCUAUGCUUUUAAAAAGUUAAAUGUCACUGAGAUAUUUUGCGAAUUAUAACCUUACCUACCAAAAAAAAACAAUCUUUCGCCGCAUUUAUUACUAGAUUCAUCUAUAUUUCAGCCAUUACUUUAACAACAAAUUGGAAAAACUAGAUAUGAGUAUGAUCAACUUCGAACAAAUACCUACUUAGAACUUCAAUAUCUAGUUUGUCAAAAUGCGAACUUGGAAUGGAAUUAAAUCUACUAAUAAACACAGAUUACUAUAAAACUGUGCUAAAUUUGAACAACAGACCACCAUAAAAGCAAUAGAUAUCCAGCUAUGCAUAUAACUGGACACCGGACUACAGGAAUUUGCAACUUUGAAAAUCAAACAAUG